UCCACCUUUCCCGACGACUCGCCUAGGGAGCUUCUGACGAAUUUCACUAGCAAAUGGCUGUAUAAGCCUGAGACGGCCGCUCGAACAAUGAAAUGGCCGUCACAUGAGGUACGGAAGGUUCACAAACCAAAACUAAAUUCGAAACGCGCGCCGAACCGGACUAUUUCGCGGAGCAGUACAUGUGCAGUAGCUCCGCCCCCGUAGCCUUCCCUUCAUUGCCAAGAAAAGUUGUCCUUGGGGGCGCUUUAGUUGUUUGACGGGUGCACGGUGCGCGCGGUUUGUGUGUGUGUGUGCCAUGCUGUGUUCUGCAAUGCUUCGUUACCACGUUUAUCGAUUAUGCACGUUGGUUACUUGAUUCAAUGUCAAGUGUACCUUCCAAGACGAUCUAGGUCCUAGUCUCGUGACUGAAGGCGAGUGCGGACGUACAGCAGCCUUUUGACAAGACUGUCGCCGAGUGUACGGUACAUUGUGGACUGUAAAGCUGAAGAGUGCACAGUGGAUGCCUGAUUUUGGAACCGAGUGUGAUCGUCUGGGCGGUGUGUUCACUCUGCGGGGAUGAUGGCCAGAGGAAGGAUGAUAGACAGACGACAGCUUGCAGACGAAGAUGGGAGCGUUCUACCUGUGAGCCUGGUCGAGCUUAUAUUUUAUGGAUACACAUGCAUGGAUACACAUACAUGGAUUCCCUACAAGGACCCUGCGCAUCAAAAGCAAUCUGUCAUCAAUGUUAAGUAGACAGAUUAAACGAAACGAAGAUAUGACAGGUGUACACCAUAUUUUUCUUUCAUUUAACCUCUGCAUGUUUCCCAG